rnacentral:rRNA from 1 species
AUUGAACGCUGGCGGCAGGCCUAACACAUGCAAGUCGAACGGUAACAGGAAGAAGCUUGCUUCUUUGCUGACGAGUGGCGGACGGGUGAGUAAUGUCUGGGAAACUGCCUGAUGGAGGGGGGUAACUACUGGAAACGGUAGCUAAUACCGCAUAAAGGCGCAAAGACAAAGAGGGGGGCCUUCCGGCCUCUUGCCAUCGGAUGUGGCCAGAUGGGAUUAGCUAGUAGGUGGGGUAACGGCUCACCUAGGCGACGAUCCCUAGCUGGUCUGAGAGGAUGACCAGCCACACUGGAACUGAGACACGGUCCAGACUCCUACGGGAGGCAGCAGUGGGGAAUAUUGCACAAUGGGCGCAAGCCUGAUGCAGCCAUGCCGCGUGUAUGAAGAAGGCCUUCGGGUUGUAAAGUACUUUCAGCGGGGAGGAAGGGAGUAAAGUUAAUACCUUGGCUCAUUGACGUUACCCGCAGAAGAAGCACCGGCUAACUCCGUG